rnacentral:snRNA from 1 species
GGAUGUGAGGGCAAUCUGUGACACCUGUCAUCCACUGAUCGCCAGAGGCAACUUAGCUAUCUGGCUGGCUAGGUAGGUGUCUCCUUUCUCCUUCACUGCUCUAUGUGCAUCCCAAUGAAAGAUGUGCAAAGAAGUUGGCCUUCUUUGAUAGAGGGUCUACAGUCAAGGGUAUAUAAGCAGCUGCACUCUCCUGCUAGAACCUCCAAACACGUCUUCAAAGCAUUGUUAAGAUUAAGCAAAUAUAAUGGGAACAUAAUCAAAUCCUAGCCAGUUUUGGGAUCAUCCAUGUUUACUCCACUA